UUUUAAAUUUCAACUUUUAAACUAUGCUUUGCUCACAAAAAAUAUUUAAAUAAACUUGCAUUCAUGACGAAAUAAUGAAGUAUCUAGUGAAGAAAAUGAAUCUAGUGAAAGUCAAUCUGAUGUUGACGAUAUUCUGAAAAGUGAAAAAGCAUCAAUAAAGCGUUUUCUAAAUGCUAAAUUUGAUAAAUUUAAUGAAAUAAUUAAUCAAGCAUCAAAAAAAGUUAAAAAAUUGAAAAAAACAGUUCUAAAACAUAAACUCGCUAAUAAUGAAUUAACAAGAAAGAAUUUAGAUUACGAAAAUACUUUAAAAAUACAACGAG